GUAAAUGUCCCUCAUCUAAAAGGGCUCCGCGUACUGGACUGGUACCUCAUCAGGCACCUGCUCCUGCUGAGCUGCAGCUCUCCUAUGACGCCUCCUAGGUUCUACCCCUGCUGCAUCUGUUGCUCCUACUGCUCCUGCCUCAGCACAGAACUGGUGGAAAUAUGCUGCAUCAAUGGCAUUCCUAAGUCUCUCAUAUGGGGGAACUGCAAUGUCCACCCUAGCCUGCUGACACAGAAAAGUGAUCAAAGAUGGAUGCCCCAAUGACAUCCUCCUACUAACUGUCAUGGCACAACUCCGAA
rnacentral:lncRNA from 1 species